UAAGUGCUUCAUAUUGGUGUUCU
rnacentral:miRNA from 1 species